rnacentral:rRNA from 1 species
CCCUUAGAUGUUCUGGGCCGCACACGCGCUACACUGAAGGAGGCAGCGUGUACUCCUGGAUCGAAAGAUUUGGGUAACCCGCGAAUCUCCUUCGUGCUAGGGAUUGAGGUUUGCAAUUAUCCUUCAUGAACGAGGAAUUCCCAGUAAGUGCAAGUCAUAAGCUUGCGCUGACUACGUCCCUGCCCUUUGUACACACCGCCCGUCGCACCUACCGAUUGAAUGGUCCGGUGAAAUCUUCGGAUCUGAGAGAUGUCUGAUUAAUUUCGGACGCCUUUUGGAAAAGUUGUUUAAACCUUACCAUUUAGAGGAAGGUGAAGUCGUAACA